GUUUGACUUGAGUAUUUAUAUCCCAAAUGCUUACAAUGGGAGGUACACAGCAGAACAAGAGCCUAGUAACAGAGUGGAGGUAAUUAUACAGAAAAAGAGUUGAAUCCCUAUGUUAAGAUUUUUAGCAAGCUAGACAAAUCAGAUUUUAAAGUUAAAUAUAUAUUUUUAAAGGUAAAGGCCCUAAAUGUGACUUGUUCUUGAUUCAUUCAGCAAUAUCUGCUGUGCUCCUGUUACGUGCCAGGCUCUGUACUGGCUGCUAGAGAUGUAGCUUUGAAUGGUCGUUUAAAAGCUUCCAAACUAGUGCUUCUAGCAUAUGUCUCAACAGAAGCUAAAAUUCAGACCGAGGCACUGAAAACUCAGUUGUGUACAGGAAAGAAGUCAGUCACGAUGGGAGCACAGGAUUAAAUGCCUCAGCUCAGCAAGGCUUCAAAUCCCAGAUUUGGUUUUUAUUUUUUAUUUUUAGGGCCAUAUUUUCCGCAUAUCAAAAUUCCCAGGAUAGGGAACUUACACCUAAGCUUGUGGUGACACCAGAUCUUUAACCCACUGAGCAAGGCCAGGGAUUGAACCUGCAUCCUCAUGGAUACCCAUCGGGAUUUUAUCCCACUGAGCCACCAUGGGAUUUCCCAUCAGACUUGGGGGGGGGCGGUUGGUGGUUUGUUUGUUUGACUUUUUGUCUUUUUCAGGGCCAUGCCCGCAGCAUAUGGAAGUUCCUAGGCGAGGGGUCUAAUCAGAGCUCUUGCCCCCGGCCUAGGCUACAGACACAGCAACGCGGGAUCUGAGCCACAUCUGCGACCUACACCACAGCUGACGGCAACGCCAGAUCCUUAACCCACUGAGCAAGGGCAGGGAUCGAAGCCGCAACCUCAUAGUUCCUGGUCAGAUUCAUUUCCGCUGCGCCACAACGGGAACUCCAGACAUGGUUUUAAAAACAGUUGGUUUUGUUUCCCCAUCCCCUUUUCUCCCAGACAGCUCAGAUCCUAGCAUACCUCUCGUGGAUAUUUGGGUGGGGAUUUAUCUAGGUUAUCAAAGUAGUCUGAGUUAUAAACCCCACUUCUUCCUCCCUUAUAGUAUUUUAUAAGCAAAAGUGGAGCGGCAACUGCAGUAGCCUGUGGGGUGGGCAUGGGACCUUCCAGGAUGUUUCUCCUAUUGACUUAACUGUUCAUGAAGUCUUCUGACUUUCAGCCAGGAAUUGAGAGUAAUGAUAGAGAACCCAUCAAACUCAACCUUUGAGACCACGCACUUCUCCCCAAGAUGAAGCUGACACAACAAGAAGGUGGAGAAUCAUCAAGACUAGGACGACAAAAUUUUUUAAAAAUUGAGGUAUAACUGACACCCCACAUUAUAUUAGUUGCAGGUUUACAACAUAAUGAUUCAAUAUCCAUCACCACAUGGGUACAAAAACUUUUUCCUCCUAAGAAGAACUUUUAAGAUCCUUAGCAACUUCCAAAUAUGCAAUGCAUUAUUGUUAACUAUAGUUAAAAUGCUUUACAUUACGUCCCUGCAACCUGUUUAUUACUGAAAGGUGGUACCUUUGGGCCUCCCUUCACCCACUUUGCUCCCUCCCUACCUCAGUCUGUUCUCUGUCUAUGCACUCAGUCGUGUGGGAGUCUUUCUGGUUUUUGCUGUUUUAGAUUUCACAUAGAAGUGAGAGCCUCUGGUAUCUGUCUUUCUUACUUUACUUAGCAUGAUGCAUUCAAGGUCUAUCCUGUUGUUGCAAACGGCAGUAUUUUUUAAAUAGGGGGUAAUAUUACCUUGUAUAAAUAGACCCAUUUUCUUUAUCCAGUCAUCCAUCGGUGGACACUUGGCUUGUUUCUACCCCUUGACUGUUGUAAAUAAUGCUUCAGUGAACAUGGGAAUACAGAUACCUUUUUCACUUAGUUGUUUUUCCUUUUCUCCAGAUAAAUACCUAGAAGUGAAACUGUUGAGUCCUAUGGUAGUUUCUAUUUUUAAUUUUUUUGAGGAACCUCCAUAGUGGCUGCACCAAUUUAUAGUCCCACCCAACAGUGCACACGGGUUCCCUUUUCUCCACACUUUUGUGAAAACUUAUUUCUUGUCUUUUGGUAACAGCCAGUUAAACAGGUAUGAGAUGAUAUCUCAUGGUUUUGAUUUUUAUUUCCCUGAUGAUUAGUGGUGUCAAGCACCUUUUCAGGUACCUGUUGAAUCUUUGUAUAUCUCCUCAGGAAAAAUGUCUAUUCAGUUCCUCUGUCCAUUUUAUAUUUGGAUUGUUUGUUUGCUGCUGAGUUGGAUGAAUGCUUAAUUUUGGAUAUUAACCCCUUAUCAGAUGUCUUAUUUGCAAAUAUUUUUUCCCAUUCAGUGGUUGUCUUUUUGUUUUGUUGAUGGUUUCCUUUGCUGUGGAGAAUGCUUUUUGUGUUGAUGUAGUCCCACUUACUAAAUUUUGGUUUCGGUGUCAAAUUAAAAAAAAAAAAAAAAAUCAUCGCUGAGAUUCAGAGAAAGAUGGCAGAGUAGAAGGACUCACGUUCACCUCCUGAACAGCCAUCAACAAAAUAGACUGGAAGCUGCCAUAAAAGAUAUCCUGCACCCAAAGACAAGUAGCCACAUGGAGACGGUAGGAGGGGCGUUUUCAUGAUAUAAGCAAUUCCACACCCAGGGGGUGGGUGACCCAAAGAUGAGAAUAACUAUAUUGCAGAAGCUCUCCCACAGGAGUGAGAAUUCCAAACCCCAGCUUGGGGGUCUGGCAUUGGGAGGGAGAGCCCCUGGAGCAUUCAGCAUUGAAAGCCUUUGGAAGCAGGGACUCCCUAAGGAUCUCAGUCAGACCUACCUGCAGGUCCUGGAGGGUCUCCUGGGAAAGCAUGGGGCAUCUGUGGCUUGCAUGGGGGCAGGACAUUGCAAGCAGAGGUCUCAGGGAAUAGUCACCAGCAUGUGCUCCCCUGGAGUCAGUCAUUUUGGAAACACCUGGGCCCACCCAGGUGUUCUCAGGGCUGAGAAGCCCCAGGCCAAACAACAAAUGGGGUGGGAACACAGCCCAGCCCAUUAGCACAGUCUGCCUACAGUUCUCCCAGGCACACACAGCUGCCUCUAGUCACGCUGAGACAAACCCCACCCACCAGUGGGCAGGCCCCAGUCCCUCCCAUCAGGAAUUCUGCAGCACACCCCCAUCUCAACUUCACCCACAAGGGGGCAGACACCAGAAGCAAGAGAGGCUACAACCCUGUACCCUGUAAAAAGGAGACCACACAAAAGCUAUAGAGAAUGAAAAGACAGAAACAUGAGCCAAAUGAAGAAACAAGACAAAACCCCAGGAAAACAGCUAAAUAAACUGGAGAUAAGCAACCUAUAUGAAAAAGGCUUUAGAGUAAUGACAGUAAAGAUGAUCCAAGAUCUCGGAAAAAACCUGGAGGCAAAGACUGAUAAAUUACGAGAAGCAUUGAACAAAGAAAUGGAAGAUACAAACAAGAAGACAUGAAAAACAGUAACUGAAAUGAAAAAUUCACUAGAAGGAACCAAUAGCAGAGUACAGGAGGCAGAAGAAUAAAUAAGCGAGGUGUUAAGACUGGUGGAAAUCACUGAGGGGGUAAAUGACAGCAACAUCUUCUCAGUUCCACCUCUCAGAGUAUUGACAAUAAAAAGAAAACAAAUGGGACCUACUCAAACUUCAAAGUUUCUGCACAGCAGAGGAAAACCUAAACAACACGAAAAGACAACCCACAGAAUGGGAGAAAAUCUUUGCAAGUGAAUCGACUGACAAGGGAUUAAUCUCCAAAAUUUAUAAACACCUUCUGCAGCUCCAUACCAAAAAAACAAACAACCCCAUCAAAAAAUGGGCAGAAGAUCUAAACAGACAGUUCUCCAAAGAAGACAUACAGAUGGCCAAAAAACACGUGAAAAGAUGUUCAACGUUACUCGUUCUUAGAUGCAAAUCAAAACCAAGAUGAGGUACCACCUUACACCAGCCAGAAUGGCCAUCAUCCAAAAGUCUACAAACAAUAAGUGUUGGAGAGGGUGUGGAGAAAAAGGAACACUAGUACACUGUUGGUGGGAUUGUAAUUGGUGCAACCACUGUGGAAAGCAGUAUGGAGAGUCCUCAGAAAACUAAACAUAGAACUACCAUUCGAUCCAGCAAGCCCACUCCUGGGCAUCUAUCCAGAGAAAACCACGACUCGCAAAGACACAUGUACUCCAAUGUUCAUUGCAGCACUAUUUGCAAUAGCCAAGACAUGGAAACACCUAAAUGUCCAUCGACAGAGGAGUGGCUCAAGAAGAUGUGGUACAUAUACACAAUGGAAUAUUACUCAGCCAUUAAAAAGAACAAAAUACCAGCAUUUUUUGCAACAUGGAUGGACCGAGAAACUAUCAUGCUAAGUGAAGUCAGCCAUACAAUGAGACACCAACAUCAAAUGCUUUCACUGACAUGUGGAAUCUGAAAAAAGGACAGACUGAACUUCUUUGCAGAACAGAUGCUGACUCACAGACACUGAAAAACUUAUGGUCUCCGGAGGUGACAGUUUGGGGGGUGGGGGGAUGUGCCUGGGCUGUGGGAUGGAAAUCCUGUGAAAUCAGAUUGUUAUGAUAAUUAUACAACUACAGAUGUGAUAAAUUCAUUUGAGUAAU
rnacentral:lncRNA from 1 species